rnacentral:rRNA from 1 species
GACGUAGGGCGCGAGCGUUGUCCGGAUUUAUUGGGCGUAAAGAGCUCGUAGGCGGCUUGUUGCGUCGACCGUGAAAACCCGCGGCUUAACUGUGGGCUUGCGGUCGAUACGGGCGGGCUGGAGUUCGGUAGGGGAGACUGGAAUUCCUGGUGUAGCGGUGAAAUGCGCAGAUAUCAGGAGGAACACCGGUGGCGAAGGCGGGUCUCUGGACAGUUCCUGACGCUGAGGCACGAAGGCCAGGGGAGCAAACGGG